rnacentral:rRNA from 1 species
AACGAACGCUGGCGGCAUGCCUAACACAUGCAAGUCGAACGAGACCUUCUGGUUUCGUUGCGCGCGGGUGCGUAACGCGUUGGAACCUUCCUUUAGGUUCGGAAUAACCCAGUGAAAUUUGAGCUAAUACCGGCUGAUGUCUUCGGGCAAAAGAUUUAUCGCCCUUAGAUGGGCCCGCGUUUGUUUUGCUAGUUGGUGGGGAAAAGGCCUAUCAAGGCGGCGUUCCAGAUCUGGUCUGAGAGGGUGUUCAGACACACUGGGAGUGAGACACGGCACAGACUCCUACGGGAGGGAGCAGUGGGGAAUAUUGGAAAAUGGGAGAGAGUCUGAUCGAGCUAUGGCGCGUGAGUGAUGGAGGCAUGAGGGUUGUAAUGCUCUUUUAGCCGAGGUGAUAAUGACGGUAUCGGGAGAAUAAGCACCGGCUAACUCCGUG